UUGCAAAAUUUCCAUAUUUUGCACCGAGAUCAAGAAAGGCAUGGAAUCGACCUCGAACGGGGGAAGGAAAAAGUUUUGGACUAAAUUGCAAAAUUUCCAUAUUUUGCACCGAGUGUCAUCCAGCUAGCAUAGGAGUUAGAGAUC